AUGGUUAUGGCGAAAUUGGUAUACGCAUAUAGUUUAGAGCUAUCUUUUUAUGGGUUCAACCCCCAUUAACCAUA
rnacentral:tRNA from 1 species